CCUUUUUCCUGCCCCUUUCCAGCCAUUCACUGCUUCCCUGUGGACAGCGAUUUCUCCAGCACUCAUGCUGUGACCUCUUCGGCUGACCAGCACCUAGAGACAGAGCCAGCUCUGUGAGAAUGUUCAGUAGAAUGGUUCCUGUCCAGCCCAGAACUGUGGUCAGAUGCCAGUGGCCACUCACAAGGCCAUUGCUUUAGUGAAUCUUCUUUACAGAUGUGUAUUGAGUGACUGUAUGAAGUUAGUACAUGCUGAGAGUCAAGAGGGUUUCCUGGAUGUCUCCUUCCCCUUCCAGGAUUGAAAACUAAGCUGCAUAAUGAAUAUGAGAAAUGGUGAGAAAAGAAAUCAACCAUAAUUUUCUUUCUUUUAUGCUACAAAUGGUCUUUUUGUGAAGUGUAUCUAUCAAAAAAAUACUCCUUAUCUAGGCUUGCACAAUUUUGUUGAUUAUAUUAUUGUAAUAUUCUAUUUAAAUAUUAAUUCACUUUGAUGCCCUCACUAUUUGGAAGAGGGGUGUAUUUGAGGAAAUUGUAAUUAAAGAACAUGAAUAUAAUAUAUUUCUGGUACUAAAGGCCUUCUUCUUUUUUUUUUUUUUGGUGCGGAGGAUUGAACUCAGGGGUGCUUAACCACUGAGUCAUACUCCCAGCGCUUUUUUAUAUUUUUAUAUUUAUAGAUAGUGUCUCACUGAGUUGCACUAGAACUUCUGGGAUUACAGGUGUGCGCCACUGUGCCUGACACAUCCCCACCCCUGUUUAUGUUUUAUUUUGAGGUAGGGUCUCACUAAGUUGCUGAGGCUGGCUUUGAACUAGCGAUCCUCCUGCCUCAGCCUUCAGGGAUUACAGGUAUGUGCCACUGUGCUGGGCAAAAUGCUUCACUUUUAACUUCUCUUUCUCUUGGUUUUGACCUCUGACUUUUAUUUUGUUUACUUGUUUCAGGUGCCAUCUGUUAUUUUUCUCUCCAUCUAUUUGUCUUUAGUUUGUAUAAUGUUGAGCACUUACUACGUUGUUGGCCUGGGUUGGGGUCCACAUGCUUUUUUUUUGCUUACCUUCACAACCUGCCUGUGUAAAAGGAGUUGCUUUUCCCAUUUUCAGCGACAUGGGUUAAAGGACUUUAUAAAGUGGAUAAAUGCUAGAACAUGGCCUUUAUUCCAGGCGGCCUGCUAAUAGAACCUGUGUUCUUGACUAGUACUCUACCACUCUCCAGUGUUUGUAUACUCCCCGAAUCCUGCCAAGGCUUGGACUCUAAGAAUACCUGCAAUGUGGUAAAAUAGAAACAUGGAAAUCAGGAUCAUGAAAAAAGGCACACAGAGUGGGAAAAUAACAUCAGGAGAGAAGAGAUUGCACAGAUCGUCGGAGAUAAGGAGUAGAGUUGGACUGCAAAUUUAGCUGCACAUUUUGUCAACCCAAGGAAAAAAAAAGAAGGAAGUUGCAUCGUUUUGUACAAGUAAAGAAGACUUUUGGUUUUGGUUUUGGUACUGGGGAUUGAACUCGGGCACUCGACCACUGAGCCACAUCCCCAGCCCUAUUUUGUACUUUAUUUAGAGACAGGGUCUCAUUGAGUUGCUUAGUGCCUUACUUAGGCUGGCUUUGAACUUGCUAUCCUCCUAAACAAAACCUUUUAGUUCCUCCUGGAAUAACAGUUCUGUGUUACCUAGAUCAAAGAGAACUUUCUCGUGGGGCUCAUCUCAGAGACUGGGAAGGGCCUGGGUUACAGGUGGGUGAGGGAAGUGGAGGCUUAGCGUUCCACUAUCAGGGAGUGUGUGGGCUACUGUGUUGGAACUGAAUAUUGAAAUUAAAGAUUCCUGAAUAAUCGUUUCCAG
rnacentral:lncRNA from 1 species